rnacentral:misc_RNA from 1 species
AACGCACCUUGCGCUCCUUGGUAUUCCGAGGAGCAUGCCUGUUUGAGUGUCAUUAAAUUCUCAACCUCACCAUUUUUGUAAUGAGAAUGUGUGUAGGCUUGGAUGUGGGGGUUGCAGGUCCACUCUGUGGUCUGCUCCUCUGAAAUGUAUUAGUGGGUUUGGUCCCCUAUCUAUUGGUGUGAUAAUUAUCUACGCCGUGGACUGGAAGACUAUUAUGAACCUGCUUCUAACCGUCCUUUACCGGACAAUACUUGACAUUUUUGACCUCAAAUCAGGUAAGACUACCCGCUGAACUUAA